UUUGAUUUUAAUUUAAAGUUUAAUCUGCCCNCUGAUAAUUAUUAAAGGGCUGCAGUAAUUUGACUGUACAAAGGUAGCAUAAUCAAUAGUCUUUUAAUUGAAGACUUGUAUGAAAGAUUUGAUGAAAUAUAAACUGUCUCUUAAUUAUAAUUAAAACUUAAUUUUUUAGUUAAAAAGCUAAAAUAAUUUUAAAAGACGAGAAGACCCUAUAGAGUUUUAUAAUUUUUAUUUUUAAAUAUUUAUAUAAAUUUUUAAUUUUUAAGAAUAAAAAUUAUUUUAUUGGGGUGAUAAAAAAAUUAAAAAAACUUUUUUUUUUUUUUACAUUGAUAAUUGAAUAAUUGAUCCUUUAUUUAAGAUUAUAAGAAUAAAUUACCUUAGGGAUAACAGCGUAAUAUUUUUUUUUAGUACGAAUAAAAAAAAAAGUUUGCGACCUCGAUGUUGGAUUAAGAUAAAAUUUAAAUGCAAAAGUUUAAAAUUU
rnacentral:rRNA from 1 species